rnacentral:rRNA from 1 species
UGCAGUCGAGCGGUAGAGAGGAGCUUGCUUCUUCGUGAAAGCGCCGGACAGGUGAGUAAAGCCUAUGAAUCUGCCUGGUAGUGGGGGACAUCGUUUCGAAAGGAACGCUAAUACCGCAUACGUCCUACAGGAGAAAGUGGGGGAUCUUCGGACCUCACGCUAUCGAAUGAACCUAGGUCGGAUUAGCUUGUAAGUGAGGUAAUGGCUCACCUAGGCAACGAUCCGUGACUGGACUGAAAGGAUGAUCAGUCACACUGGAACUGAGACACGGACCUCACUCCUACGGGAG